GAACUUUGCCGUACGGAGCUGGCGAGACUUGCCGAAAGAAUGUACGGUGGAAACGUAAAAAAAAAAAAUACCAACUUUGAACCCCUUCAAUUCCCAGAAGGUCCUAACCCCCAAAAAAUCAUUUCAGUGGGUCCUGCUCUGAUUCAUUACCUUUCAUUUGAGCUAUGUCCGGUGUCGAACUUUGCCGUACGGAGCUGGCGAGACUUGCCGGAAGAAUGUACGGUGGAAACGUAAAAAAAAAAAUAAUACCAACUUUGAACCCCUUCAAUUCCCAGAAGGUCCUAACCCCCAAAAAAUCAUUUCAGUGGGUCCUGCUCUAAUUCAUUACCUUUCAUUUGAGCUAUGUCCGGUGUCGAACUUUGCCGUACGGAGCUGGCGAGACUUGCCGGAAGAAUGUACGGUGGAAACGUAAAAAAAAAAAUAAUACCAACUUUGAACCCCUUCAAUUCCCAGAAGGUCCUAACCCCCAAAAAACCAUUUCAGUGGGUCCUGCUCUGAUUCAUUACCUUUUAUUUGAGCUAUGUCCGGUGUCGAACUUUGCCGUACGGAGCUGGCGAGACUUGCCGGAAGAAUGUACGGUGGAAACGUAAAAAAAAAAAUAAUACCAACUUUGAACCCCUUCAAUUCCCAGAAGGUCCUAACCCCCAAAAAAUCAUUUCAGUGGGUCCUGCUCUGAUUCAUUACCUUUCAUUUGAGCUAUGUCCGGUGUCGAACUUUGCCGUACGGAGCUGGCGAGACUUGCCGGAAGAAUGUACGGUGGAAACGUAAAAAAAAAAAUAAUACCAACUUUGAACCCCUUCAAUUCCCAGAAGGUCCUAACCCCCAAAAAAUCAUUUCAGUGGGUCCUGCUCUGAUUCAUUACCUUUCAUUUGAGCUAUGUCCGGUGACGAACUUUGCCGUACGGAGCUGGCGAGACUUGCCGAAAGAAUGUACGGUGGAAACGUAAAAAAAAAAUAAUACCAACUUUGAACCCCUUCAAUUCCCAGAAGGUCCUAACCCCCAAAAAAACCAUUUCAGUGGGUCCUGCUCUGAUUCAUUACCUUUCAUUUGAGCUAUGUCCGGUGUCGAACUUUGCCGUACGGAGCUGGCGAGACUUGCCGAAAGAAUGUACGGUGGAAACGUAAAAAAAAAAAAUACCAACUUUGAACCCCUUCAAUUCCCAGAAGGUCCUAACCCCCAAAAAAUCAUUUCAGUGGGUCCUGCUCUGAUUCAUUACCUUUCAUUUGAGCUAUGUCCGGUGUCGAACUUUGCCGUACGGAGCUGGCGAGACUUGCCGGAAGAAUGUACGGUGGAAACGUAAAAAAAAAAAUAAUACCAACUUUGAACCCCUUCAAUUCCCAGAAGGUCCUAACCCCCAAAAAAUCAUUUCAGUGGGUCCUGCUCUAAUUCAUUACCUUUCAUUUGAGCUAUGUCCGGUGUCGAACUUUGCCGUACGGAGCUGGCGAGACUUGCCGGAAGAAUGUACGGUGGAAACGUAAAAAAAAAAAUAAUACCAACUUUGAACCCCUUCAAUUCCCAGAAGGUCCUAACCCCCAAAAAACCAUUUCAGUGGGUCCUGCUCUGAUUCAUUACCUUUUAUUUGAGCUAUGUCCGGUGUCGAACUUUGCCGUACGGAGCUGGCGAGACUUGCCGGAAGAAUGUACGGUGGAAACGUAAAAAAAAAAAUAAUACCAACUUUGAACCCCUUCAAUUCCCAGAAGGUCCUAACCCCCAAAAAAUCAUUUCAGUGGGUCCUGCUCUGAUUCAUUACCUUUCAUUUGAGCUAUGUCCGGUGUCGAACUUUGCCGUACGGAGCUGGCGAGACUUGCCGGAAGAAUAUACGGUGGAAACGUAAAAAAAAAAUAAUACCAACUUUGAACCCCUUCAAUUCCCAGAAGGUCCUAACCCCUAAAAAAUCAUUUCAGUGGGUCCUGCUCUGAUUCAUUACCUUUCAUUUGAGCUAUGUCCGGUGUCGAACUUUGCCGUACGGAGCUGGCGAGACUUGCCGGAAGAAUGUACGGUGGAAACGUAAAAAAAAAAAUAAUACCAACUUUGAACCCCUUCAAUUCCCAGAAGGUCCUAACCCCCAAAAAAUCAUUUCAGUGGGUCCUGCUCUGAUUCAUUACCUUUCAUUUGAGCUAUGUCCGGUGACGAACUUUGCCGUACGGAGCUGGCGAGACUUGCCGAAAGAAUGUACGGUGGAAACGUAAAAAAAAAAAUAA